GAGUUUGAUCAUGGCUCAGGACGAACGCUGGCGGCGCGCCUAAUACAUGCAAGUCGAACGGGUUGCCUUCGGGCAGCCAGUGGCGGACGGGUGAGUAACACGUGGGAACCUUCCCUUUGGUUCGGAAUAGCUCAGGGAAACUUGAGGUAAUACCGGAUAAGCCCUUACGGGGAAAGAUUUAUCGCCGAAGGAUGGGCCCGCGUCGGAUUAGCUAGUUGGUGGGGUAACGGCCUACCAAGGCGACGAUCCGUAGCUGGUCUGAGAGGAUGAUCAGCCACACUGGGACUGAGACACGGCCCAGACUCCUACGGGAGGCAGCAGUAGGGAAUAUUGGACAAUGGGCGCAAGCCUGAUCCAGCCAUGCCGCGUGAGUGACGAAGGCCUUCGGGUUGUAAAGCUCUUUUGGCGGGGACGAUAAUGACGGUACCCGCAGAAUAAGCUCCGGCUAACUUCGUGCCAGCAGCCGCGGUA
rnacentral:rRNA from 1 species